AGCAGCCGCGGUAAUUCCAGCUCCAAUAGCGUAUAUUAAAGUUGUUGCAGUUAAAAAGCUCGUAGUUGAAUUUCAGGCCUGGCUGGACGGUCCGCCCUUCGGGUGAGUACUGUCUGUGGUCGGGUCCUACCUUCUGGCGAAGCGUCAUGGCCUUAACCGGCCGUGGCGGGGAACCAGGACUUUUACUGUGAAAAAAUUAGAGUGUUCAAAGCAGGCAAUCGCUUGGAUACAUUAGCAUGGAAUAAUGGAAUAGGACGAUGGUUCUAUUUGUUGGUUUCUAGGACCGUUGUAAUGAUUAAUAGGGAUAGUUGGGGGCAUUAGUAUUCAAUUGUCAGAGGUGAAAUUCUUGGAUUUAUUGAAGACUAACUACUGCGAAAGCAUUUGCCAAGGAUGUUUUCAUUAAUCAAGAACGAAAGUUAGGGGAUCGAAGACGAUCAGAUACCGUCGUAGUCUUAACCAUAAACUAUGCCGACUAGGAAUCGGGCGAUGUUGACAAAAUGACGCGCUCGGCACCUCAUGG
rnacentral:rRNA from 1 species